GUGUUGUAUGAAAAGAGAGGUUAGAACUCCCCUUGACAAGGAUGGAAGAGGCUCUGGGACCUGACAACAUGCAUACAGUUAAGGCAUUGCCACCUACUUCGUGGCCUCUAACCAUUGUUUUUU
ensembl:snRNA